rnacentral:rRNA from 1 species
UACGUAGGGUGCGAGCGUUAAUCGGAAUUACUGGGCGUAAAGCGUGCGCAGGCGGUGAUGUAAGACAGUUGUGAAAUCCCCGGGCUCAACCUGGGAAUUGCAUCUGUGACUGCAUCGCUAGAGUACGGUAGAGGGGGAUGGAAUUCCGCGUGUAGCAGUGAAAUGCGUAGAUAUUAGGAAGAACACCAGUGGCGAAGGCGCUCUACUGGGCCAUUACUGACGCUGAUGGACGAAAGCUAGGGGAGCGAAAGGG